rnacentral:rRNA from 1 species
GACGAACCGUGCAAACGUUGUUCGGAAUCACUGGGCUUAAAGGGCGCGUAGGCGGACGACCAAGUCAGGGGUGAAAUCCCGCGGCUCAACCGCGGAAGUGCCUUUGAAACUGGUUGUCUCGAGGGAGGUAGGGGCGUGCGGAACUUCCGGUGGAGCGGUGAAAUGCGUAGAUAUCGGAAGGAACGCCGGUGGCGAAAGCGGCGCGCUGGACCUCUUCUGACGCUGAGGCGCGAAAGCUAGGGGAGCAAACGGG